AAAAAGAGGAGGCUGGGAGGCUUUUGCAGCAGGGCCUCACUUCAGGAAGCACACACCCUCAAGUUCAUCUGAAAGUGCAGAAUUCUUCCCAUCACCUGGCCAUGAACCCUCACCAUAACUCUGUGUGGGGUCAGGGGAGAGGAACAAGAGGGAGAGCUCAACAACAUUGGCCAAGUUCAACAACGUAAAAGGGAACUGUUUCAGCAAAGCAAUGCCGGAACUCUGUCUCUUACCAUGGGUUUCAACUGAGUGAUUUCUGGCGGGCGAUUCUGU